rnacentral:rRNA from 1 species
CAGAGGGUGCAAGCGUUAAUCGGAGUUACUGGGCGUAAAGGGCGCGUAGGCGGUUGAAUAAGUGAGAUGUGAAAUCCCUGGGCUUAACCUAGGAGCUGCAUCUUAUACUGUUUGACUGGAGUACUGUAGAGGGUAGUGGAAUUUCCGGUGUAGCGGUGAAAUGCGUAGAGAUCGGAAGGAACACCAGUGGCGAAGGCGGCUACCUGGACAGAUACUGACGCUGAGGCGCGAGAGCGUGGGGAGCAAACAGGAUUAGAUACCCUGGUAGUCCACGCUGUAAACGAUGAGAACUAGAUGUUGGGCAGCUUGACUGUUUAGUAUCGAAGCUAACGCGAUAAGUUCUCCGCCUGGGGAGUACGGCCGCAAGGUUA